CGCAAUGCUCACGGGCACCUUGUAGUUUAGGUAAAUAUUUGCUAAAUUUUGAGCCAUGGGGGUGCAAGUAUAGCUUAGUAAAACUUUCGACGAAAACUAUAGCGAACAUGAUCGGUUGAGCCGUUAUUGAGUUUUUGCAAAAAGUCUUCCCUUAGUAUAAGUGCUGCCCUAUUGCAUCUUAAACACAAUAUGAUAUCACCUAAAUAGCCCGCGUUCAAGACAGCCUAUUGUGAUAAGCGGGUAACUACGGAACCCUACACUGAGCAUGGCCCGACAUGCUCUUGGUUGGUUUAUUUACUUGUUAGGAUAUUUUUUUUCUUGCUAACAAAUAUCGCUUAAAAAAGUUGCCGUUAUCUAUCUUUCUGUGACACUGCGAUAUCCAAUAAAAAUUCUACCUGAUAUGUGUCAUGUAAGCGGCCUCCUAGGAGGACUGAACCCAACCUUGAAAAACUUCAAUGAAUUCCCCAAAUACGGUAUCGCAUGCUGUUUCGCAUAGCGUCUUCAACUCAAGAUCGAUUCUUUAUGGGUUGCCUGACGUCCCAGACGCAACAUGCACCCUUACAUUACCUUUCCCUACUACUACCAUCCCCCUCUAACCCACAUAACUGUAUAUACCCCUCGCAUUUUGUGCAAACGUCAUUGCGUGGCGCAUUGUCUGCCUGAAAACACAAACAGAUAUCGACUUUAGUUACCACCAAUUAUGGUUUAAAUUAGAAGUGGCAUUUGACUUAGAAAGGAAAUUGGCAUUUACAUGAACAGGAGAAAAGCGAGUUUUCCACAGCAGAAUUCGAAAAUGGAAUAGAAACGUAUAACCCAACCGAGUUAUGUUUGCCUUGCGGCGUGACAAUCUAACUCCUUAUCUUCAUGAAAUACGGCUGUUAUUUAUUUGUGGAUUAGUUUCGUAAGUGCAUUAUUAAGUUUGUCCCUUUGUGCCUCCGCCGCGCGGUCGCAUUCGAUGACAUGUACGGGCACGCGAACGUUUUUGUUCCAUUUUCAGUUUUUUAAAUUACGUUCAUCGAUAAGUGAACUUUUUUUAAUGGCAUCCUACUUAGUAGUGGCCAGUGCGCGUUAACAUGUAGUAUUUAAUAUAAUUAAAAAAAAAAACAUAUAAACUAAAGUAAGCGAGGUUAGAAUCGGUUGUGAAUUGUCGGUGGCCUGUAAUUUUGUAUACGAGUAACAUAUCUAGUUCAUAAUUAGUAAAUUAGUGUUCUAAUUAGUUUUAACCUAGUUCUAUCAUAGUUAAGUGCUUCGAAUUCAAGCAAUAACAAAACGCGAACAAACUAAGAUUGUACCGGCCUGUUAACCAGUGUGAGCGAAAAGAUCUUCAUUUCAAAAGGACUCCUAAACGAUAACGUGUUUGACUAAUCGUCACCUCCACACGGCCUUGGUAAGUCAAAUCCAAUGCAACCAUAACUCAAUCGAAUCAAAUAAUUUAUCGCCAAAAUUACUUGAAAUGCACUUAUAUCCUCAAAUAAUCAUUCACCUAAAACAACAUCGAUAUUACACUCCAGCCACAAGAAAAAUCACGUGCAGGAUAAUUUGCUUCCCAUUCGUUCACUUUUAAAAGGCAUCAUCUUGUAAAUGUAAAUAUGUACAUAGUUAUAGUUCGUGGUUACAUUUACGGUGACGCGCGGUUUUUCAAAUAUAACCUUUAAUAACGUGACAAUACAAGUCAAGGCACACGUCUUCGUGAAUGACACGAUAGCGUAGAUUCAGCUUUGUUCAAUAAUAUGUAAGGUACAGUCACGUCUGAAAACAUCGACACGAUCGAAGUGCCAAAAAUAUGUAUUCACGACAUUAUGGCCCAUAUAUUAGGGUAGUGUAUACAUAUUUUCAGAAGUGACCGUACAAGGUACCUAUUGCUAAAAUGUUUUUUUUUUGUUUUUGUUUGAUUAAAAGUACGCAUACGACAUUUCUCUCCUGCAUUGGUGUUGUUGCAAUUAUAAAUCUGUCAGUGCAGAACAGAUGUUGAAUAAAUCAAAUAGCAAUGAGAUAUGACCAAGAUAACAUGUUAUUAGCUAGAUAU